rnacentral:rRNA from 1 species
AGACGAACCGGUCAAACGUUAUUCGGAAUCAUUGGGCUUAAAGGGUGCGUAGGCGGUGCGGAAAGUUGGGUGUGAAAUCCCUCGGCUCAACCGAGGAACUGCGCCCAAAACUUCCGUGCUAGAGGGAGACAGGGGUGAGCGGAACUGAUGGUGGAGCGGUGAAAUGCGUUGAUAUCAUCAGGAACACCGGUGGCGAAGGCGGCUCACUGGGUCUCUUCUGACGCUGAGGCACGAAAGCUAGGGUAGCGAACAGGAUUAGAAACCCUGGUAGUCC